rnacentral:lncRNA from 1 species
UUGUAUUAAUUUUUUGAAACAAGUUAUUUUUUUAUUUCACUUCACCAAUUUCAACUAUUUUGUGUGUGUUCAUCACAUGAAAUCCAAAUAAUAAUCCAUUUAAAUUACAGGUUGUAAUGCAACAAAAUAGGAAAAACGCCAAGGGGGAUGAAUACUUUUGCAAGGCACUACACACACAGCAGGAUAGAUCAUUUCUGACUCACCAAACUGUCAGUACAAUACUGAUGGGCAUCGAUGUGAGCGCUACAAAGUGGGUAACUACGGCAAUGCUGCCCAGAGGACCUGUCGUGGGUGUCUUAUCCCUGAAGCUCUAUCUCUUAAUGCAUAUAGAAGAUCUCCUUCGUCACCUGAGGGAGGCGAAAUCUAGUAUACCCACCAUAAAUGUGGCAGUGGAGGAGGUGGCCAGGAUGAUGAAGGAGGUGCAGCGCAUGGUGCAGGAGAUGAGAGAACUUGGCUGCAGUAACCAGACAAGGAGGCUGCCAGGGAGCAAGAGGAGGCUCAAAAAUUAUUGGACUUCAUCAGGAACAAUAUGACAACUCCAUUGGAUGACAACCUGGCUGUAGCCAAUGAGGCGGCAGAGUCCCUGAUGACGUGGGGCUCUGCGUUGAUGAAUCUGGCAGAGGCUGUGGUACAAGCAGAGGAUAUGGUAAACAGGACAUGGAGCCUCAACUCCAGCAGUACUGACUUCCUAAGAGACCUGACGGUAAUGUCAAAUACUGAAGAAUAACAUAUAUGAAAUGUUGUAGAUACAACACAAAAAAAUGUCCCUCCUAUUUCCAAAUAAUCUACUAGCAAUUAAAAGAUGAGCUGGAGAGGAAACGUGAUUCAAUCCAAUCAAUAUGACGAAAGAUAAACUGAGGAAUAUCACAAACCUUUUGUAAAUGAUGAAGGAGCAAAACAAGGUAUGAAGCAGAUGAGGCAUUAAAAAUUUAAUUUAAAUCUUUCAGGAAUACGAGCACCUUGCAGCCGAGGUAGAUCAAAUAAAAUGUAUUUAUAAAGCCCUUCUUACAUCAUCACAGUGAUGUACAGAAACUCAGCCUAAAACCCCAAACAGCAAGCAACGCAGGUAUAGAAGCACAGUGGCUAGGAAAAACUCCCUAGAAAAGCCAGAACCUAGGAAGAAACCUAGAGAGGAAUCAGGCUAUGAGGGGUGGCCAGUCCUCUUCUGGCUGUGCCGGGUGGAGAUUAUAACAGAACAUGGCCAAGAUGUUCAAAUGUUCAUAGAUGACCAGCAGGGUCAAAUAAUAAUAAUCACAGUGGAUUUCGAGGGUGCAACAGGUCAGCACCUCAGGAGUAAAUGUCAGUUGGCUUUUCAUAGCCGAUCAGUAUCUCUACCGCUCCUGCUGUCUCUACCGCUCCUGCAAUGGAACUACAAAUGUAGGUAGACAAAGAGAGGGUUAGGUUGUUCUUAGGUGGGGGCCUACUUCUUCAUACCCCACAGACGUUUCCUAUGUC